GUAACACGUAGUCAACAUGCCCAGGGGACGUGGAUAACCUCGGGAAACUGAGGAUAAACCGCGAUAGGUCACUACUUCUGGAAUGGGUAAUGACUCAAACCUAUAUGGCCCCUGGAUUGGACUGCGGCCGAUCAGGCUGUUGGUGAGGUAAUGGCCCACCAAACCUGUAACCGGUACGGGCUCUGAGAGGAGGAGCCCGGAGAUAGGCACUGAGACAAGGGCCCAGGCCCUAUGGGGCGCAGCAGGCGCGAAACCUCUGCAAUAGGCGAAAGCCUGACAGGGUUACUCUGAGUGAUCUCCGUUAAGGAGAUCUUUUGGCACCUCUAAAAAUGGUGCAGAAUAAGGGGUGGGCAAGUCUGGUGUCAGCCGCCGCGGUAAUACCAGCACCCCGAGUGGUCGGGACGUUUAUUGGGCCUAAAGCAUCCGUAGCCGGUUCUACAAGUCUUCCGUUAAAUCCAGCUGCUUAACAGAUGGGCUGCGGAAGAUACUAUGGAGCU
rnacentral:rRNA from 1 species